UACGAAGGGGGCUAGCGUUGCUCGGAAUCACUGGGCGUAAAGCGCACGUAGGCGGAUUUCUAAGUCAGGGGUGAAAUCCCGGGGCUCAACCCCGGAACUGCCUUUGAUACUGGGUAUCUUUGAGUCCGGAAGAGGUGAGUGGAAUUCCGAGUGUAGAGGUGAAAUUCGUAGAUAUUCGGAGGAACACCAGUGGCGAAGGCGGCUCACUGGUCCGGUACUGACGCUGAGGUGCGAAAGCGUGGGGAGCAAACAGG
rnacentral:rRNA from 1 species